CAUCUGCAUCAUGGAGACAUUUGCCACAGCCAGGAAUUGAAAUGUCCCUGCUGGGGACCCCACGCCCCUUCCCUUCUCUAAAGCCCCAGGCCGAGUUCAUAUCCUUCUCACCAGCACGCUGCCUGGGGCCACAGCCUGAUAAACGUGUUGGAAGAAUGAGCUGACCGGGCAGGAGUCACCUUGUAGUGCCGAUGCGCACCUGGCUGUGCUGAUGUGAGGGGGCUGGGCCACGCCCCCUCCUUCCCGCCCAGGUCAGAGUGGGGCUUUUGCUAACACCUCCCAGAAGAGCUACAGAAUAAAGGAGACAAUGGGGCUCAUCCCUGUCCUACUGCACACAUCAGAAGUGCAGGUCAGCCCUUCUCAGCCAUAGGAAGCAAGUCUUUAUCCACACGGUUUGAUGAUGAGAUGGCAGGAAUUCCAUCCCACCUUCAGGCUCCACUUCUAACUCUACUUCCCUCGCUAUUUCCAACACAACUGCAACGACUUCCUCCACUGAAGUCUUGACCCCCUCACAGUCAUCCACGAGGGUUGGAAUCAGCUUCUUCCAAAAUCCUGCUAAAGUUGGACCCUAUUUCUAAACUGUCAUUAAACAGAGUCACAACCAUGUCUAGCUGGGAACCCCUCACUGUUAGGAGAGGAAGACUUGCCCGGAAUCCUGUUGUUUUAGGAAGACUGUGACUUCUUUUAUCUGUUUGGAAAUCGGCAAUAGCUCUACUCGAACUGCUUUUUGUGAGGCUUGAACCUAUAACCUGUAUAUCCUGAGUCAACAAUGGCUUCUCCAGCCUGGAAUUGGGGCUGUGUCCCCCUCCAGAGCAGGCCACCUUGGCUGAGCUUCUGUCUGGCAUGACCUGAGUGACACAGGUUCUUGGGCUGUGCUGUGUUGAAGAUGAAUCAUGCAUCUUCCUUGCUUGGGACAGUUCUCCUGGCUACGCACCUGCAGAACACAGGUGAAACUUUCUGAGGAAACUCCCACUGCCACUUGUGAAAAAAAAUUUAUA